UCACAGACUAAGCAUGUAGAAAGCUUAUUGGUUCCGCGUUUGGACGAGGGUUCAAUCCCCUCCAGCUCCACCG
rnacentral:tmRNA from 1 species